rnacentral:tRNA from 1 species
GGAUAAGAAGCGAAUCUCGCUAUCGGUUUCGACCCGGUCCUUGGUCACUUUAGGCCCUUAUUCU